UACAGAGGUCUCAAGCGUUGUUCGGAUUCAUUGGGCGUAAAGGGUGCGUAGGUGGCGUGGUAAGUCGGGUGUGAAAUUUCGGAGCUUAACUCCGAAACUGCAUUCGAUACUGCUGUGCUUGAGGACUGGAGAGGAGACUGGAAUUUACGGUGUAGCAGUGAAAUGCGUAGAGAUCGUAAGGAAGACCAGUGGCGAAGGCGGGUCUCUGGACAGUUCCUGACACUGAGACACGAAGGCCAGGGGAGCAAACGGG
rnacentral:rRNA from 1 species